rnacentral:rRNA from 1 species
GACGAACGCUGGCGGCGUGCCUAAUACAUGCAAGUCGAGCGGACUUUCAAGAAGCUUGCUUUUUGAAAGUUAGCGGCGGACGGGUGAGUAACACGUGGGCAACCUGCCUGUAAGACGGGGAUAACUCCGGGAAACCGGGGCUAAUACCGGAUAAUAUCUUUCUUCGCAUGAAGGAAGGUUGAAAGGCGGCGCAAGCUGCCGCUUGCAGAUGGGCCCGCGGCGCAUUAGCUAGUUGGUGAGGUAACGGCUCACCAAGGCGACGAUGCGUAGCCGACCUGAUAGGGGGAUCGGCCACACUGGGACUGGGACGCGGCCCAGACUCCUACGGGAGGCAGCAGUAGGGAAUCUUCCGCAAUGGACGAAAGUCUGACGGAGCAACGCCGCGUGAGCGAAGAAGGUCUUCGGAUCGUAAAGCUCUGUUGUCAGGGAAGAACAAGUACCGUUCGAAUAGGGCGGUACCUUGACGGUACCUGACCAGAAAGCCACGGCUAACUACGUGCCAGCCGCCGCAGUAA